CGGAUGAGGCCGCUGAGGUUGUCGAGGCGGCCCAGGAAGACGCAGUAGAUGUGGUCCAGGCCGCAGAACAUCCGCUGGUAGGUGGCGGUGCCGGUGGCGGUGGCGGAGGAGGAGGGGCCGACGCAGGCGAGCGCGGCGCCGCCGCCGAAGGAGGCGGAGAAGGCGGCGGCCGGGUGCGCGGCGUGGAAGUCGCGCAGGAUCUCGUCGGGGUUCCGGGGCUUGCUGGGCGACGCGCCGGCGCGGGGGCUGU
rnacentral:lncRNA from 1 species